rnacentral:lncRNA from 1 species
AUCCCUGUACCCAGUGGGAGAGGACCAGUCUAGACAAACUUGUUCAUGCUCCUUCUGCUCUUGGUGGUGAAUGCAGGAGAUUCUCGGGUUCCUUCCCCGUCCUCCCCAAAGCUAACCCAGUGUGCUCACCCAGCCCUGCCUGGCUCCCUCCUGUGUGUGCUUGGGAGGUCCCAGGAUACACUCAAGGAGCAAAGGCUGGUGGGUCCCCAGCACCUGCUGUGUGUCACUCUCCCUCUGGCCUUGGGCACUUUCUAUUCAUCCCCAGUGGCUCAGAAGGGAACAAGGCAGAUUAAGUCCUUCACCCACCAUCCGUACCCUGUACCUACCACCUCCAUCCCACGAGGGAAAAAAACAGUAAAACAAAAACAAAAAAAAUCUUUUGUACAGAGAUAUAUUUUUAUUAUACAAAGUUUGUACAGUACCAAAAAAAGACAGAAAAAAAAUGGUGUACAUUUUUUUUUCAUUAUUGUAGGUAAAUGGUGUGGGAGCCUUUUUUUUGUAAAUGUAAUAAAAUGUAUAAAUAUGGUUUUCAGAAAGCAUCCCGUGCUGUAAAUAUGUAAUCUACACCCCUUUCUCGGCUUGUCUGCAGUAUAUGCAUUUAAUUUAUCUGUCUCCGUAUAUGAGGCUUCCCCCUGGGGUUCUGCAUUAUGGUACUUUCCGGAAUUUGAAAGCAAUUUUAAAUUUUUUGAAUUCAAAUAAAAUAUAAAUUUUUGC